GCCGACGUAGCUCAGUUGGUAGAGCAACGGUUUCGUAAACCGUGGGUCGAGGGUUCGAUUCCCCCCGUCGGCU
rnacentral:tRNA from 1 species